UACAGGGGGUGCAAACGUUGCUCGGAAUUAUUGGGCGUAAAGCGCGCGUAGGCGGCUACUUAAGUCGGAUGUGAAAGCCCCUGGCUCAACUGGGGAAGUGCACCCGAAACUGAGUAGCUUGAGUGCAAAAGAGGGCCGCGGAAUUCCAGGUGUAGCGGUGAAAUGCGUAGAUAUCUGGAGGAACACCGGUGGCGAAGGCGGCGUCCUGGACCAACACUGACACUGAGGAGCGAAAGCCAGGGGAGCAAACGGG
rnacentral:rRNA from 1 species